rnacentral:lncRNA from 1 species
CGAUUUUUAAUGUAGGAAAAUAAUAAAAUAACUUAAAGAAGAGCUAGUUAAAAUAAAAUAUAGAAGUAGUAAAAUUGUGUUAAAUAUAAAGAUUUUGUUGGAGUACUUCAAAAUUUUAACUCUCGAAAUUUAUAGAUGCUCACCAAAUGAUAGAAUAUAAUUUUUAAAAAUAGAUAGUUUUUCAGAGAUACUUUAUUGAAUUACACUAUUUGUACAAUGUUAGUUGACAAACUUUGUUGGAGGUAGCGAGAUUCGGACCAAUGAUUUAAAAAAGGGUUUUUGACAAUUUAAAAAAUGGAUGGAUGUGAUGAUGCCAACAAAUACGACAAUUCAUGAUUGUACAAAUAUCAUAAUUGUGCUUUAAUAGCAAUCUACUUCUGCUUCAACCAGCAAAAGAAGCCCAAAAUAUGUUGUAUACCUUGAAAACAGAAGAACCCACUAAAUUGCAGAUAAGAUCAGUGAAAAUGCAAAAAGAUAGAACAUUAUUUAUAAACCAACAAGAACCACAAGGAGCCUGAAACCAAGUUUCACUAGUUCAGACUGACACAAAAUAUACCAGCAUCUCAACUACAAUGUGAAAAAAUACCAAUAACUAAGUCAAUAAAUGACUUUAGUGAUGCACCAAAUGAAAUUUCCAAGAGACAAAAACAUUUUAUUAAACCAACCUUUAGGAUUCAAAAUAUAAAAAUGACGAUUGUACUUUCCUAAACUUGUUACAAAAGAAAAACAAAAUAUUUGGAUAUCCAA